rnacentral:rRNA from 1 species
GAUGAACGCUGGCGGCGUGCCUAAUACAUGCAAGUCGAGCGAACGGACGAGAAGCUUGCGUCUCUGAGGGUAGCGGCGGACGGGUGAGUAACACGUGGAUAACCUACCUAUAAGACUGGGAUAACUUCGGGAAACCGUAGCUAAUACCGGAUAAUAUUUUGAACCGCAUGGUUCAAGAGUGAAAGACGGUCUUGCUUUCACUUAUAGAUGGAUCCGCGCUGCAUUAGUUAGUGGGUAAGGUAACGGCUUAACAAGGCAACGAUGCAUAGCCGACCUGAGAGGGUGGAUGGACAGCCUGGAUCUGAGGAACGGCAGCGACACCGACGGGGGGCAGCAGCAGGGAAUCUUACGGAAUGGGGGAAAGGCGGACGGUGCAAAGUCGCGGGAGUGCUGAACGUCUUCGGACGGGAGAACUAUGUAGGUAGGGAAGAUGAAAUGCGCAUGUAACUGUGCAGAUAAUGACGGUACCUAGAGAGAAAGCCACGGCUAACUCCGUG